CGCUGUAGCGGUUCCUAUUUAUCUACUUGCAUUUUGACGUGCUUUCGAACUGCUAGGUUGGCAGGAGCUGGGACUGAGCAAUGGGAGCUCACCCCGUCACAGGGAUUCAAACCGCCGACCUUCUGAUCAGCAAGCCCUAGGCUCAGUGGUUUAACCCACAGCGCCACCUGGGUCCCUGCAUUAAGCUAUCACAGCAUCUCCAGAAUCCCAACCCUGCUCAAAGCCUCACAUGUACCCUCUCAGCUCAUCUAGUUGCCUCAAGUGCCAGAAGAAGAGAUGUGGGGUGGGUGGGCAAUGCAACAGGGCAAGAGCUAAGAAUAUCUUUGAUAUCUCUGGAUCAUCCCUGUAUCUGGUGUGCAUGUAUUUGCAUUACUAAGUUAAAAGUUUACCCAGUUCUUCCAGAGCUUGUCAUUCUGUGGAGCAGCAAGGCAUCUCUGCUGAGGAAACAAAAAAGUCUUCAGAGAUAUGCUUUCAUCUACUUACCUUUGCCCUGGAAUUUCAUUAUAAAUCCCUGGAUGAAGAUCUGUCACACGCAAUGAAAAAGACAGCUAUGAGUAUAUAGGUAGAAUCUCUGAUAUUUCUAAUAACUGAGUCUUGGAACCAAUUGGCUUGCUCCACUGAUGGGAAGCCUAUCUUUUACCAUGUGCUGCUGAAAGCGGCUGGGGAGCAGGGCCGCCAACCAGCUGGGAUGUGGAUGCGCAGCUCCCCCAGCCACCGCCAAGACUGGAAAGGUUUCAACAUCCCCUUUAUCAUCUCCACUGUCAUCAAAAACACUGUCACUACUCAGCUCAGGUACAACUGGUAACUGGUGCUGCAGCUAAAAACAUGGGGAAAUAGUUAUUUUAGAUCAAAAUUCCUUUUUUCCCACUUCCACAAAACCAAUUUGCAUGGUAUAUGCUUAGCGGUGGCUGGGGGAGCUGUGUACUCGCCUCCCAGCUGGUUGGUGGCCCGUGCUCCCCAGCCGCUUUCAGCAGCAUAUGGUAAAAGGUCGCUAAUAUAAAUCACACUUUUAACUUUUCAGGGUCUGAAAUUGGGGGGAAAGUGCCAAUACGGUAGUAGAUCCCUUCUCUGUGAAUUUCUGUUAUUCUCUCUUUAAAGCCAUCCAAGUUGGUGGCCAUCUCUGCCUCUUGUGGAAGCAGAUUCCAUAGUUUAACCAUGUGCUGCAUAAGGACCUGCUUCCUUUUAUUUGUCUCUUAAAGAGGGCUUUCAGCAUAGAAAAGAUAAAAGGAAGGCAAUGAUCAUUUUUAUAAAGUUGAUACUGGCAGCGGCAACCGGCUCCGUAGCACGCAUGCGCAGCGUCACUCCAUAGCGACACUGCGCAUGCGUGCUAUGGAGCGGGUUGCCGGCGGUGCCACUCCAGCACCGGGAUCCCGCUGAUGCCUCUUCCUGGCCUUCCCCUCGCCUCUGCCCCAGCAGGAAGAAGCAAAGCACACGCCGAGCAAGUGAGCAAACAGCCAGCCGCUGAGUGAACAGCCAGCCGCUGAGCGAACAGCCAGCCGCUGAGCGAGGCCUUUUACCGGGUGGCGGGGCUUGGCUUGGGAGUUGGGGGCGCCGAGUGUCACCCCCCUCCAGGGUGGCACCCGGGGCAGCCCGCUCCCUACACACACCCUUGCUACGCCCCUGGAUACUGGAACCCUCAAGCACCAGUAGUCAACUGCCAGUUGUCAUCUGUUGAGCAAGCUUCAAAUCAUAAGGGGACAGAGAGAAGAAAGGUGAUUGGCUGAGUAGAUGAUGUCAUAGGUGGGUCCUGUUGAGUCGUCGUAUAUUUAUAUCUCAACAUCUGCUUCUUCAGAGAGUCUGUAGAAAUUGUAGUUUGAAAAAGAGUCAUGGUUGCCAACUGACCAUAUCUUGGCCUCCUUUUGUGCCUUUCAAAAAGGACCAGCC